GAUGAAGAACGUAGCGAAAUGCGAUAAGUAAUGUGAAUUGCAGAAUUCAGUGAAUCAUCGAAUCUUUGAACGCACAUUGCGCCCCUUGGUAUUCCGAGGGGCAUGCCUGUUCGAGCGUCUUUAUAACCCCUCAAGCUCAGCUUGGUGUUGGGGCCUGCCGCACGGGCAGCCCUUAAAAUCAGUGGCGGUGCCAUCUGGCUCUAAGCGUAGUAAUUCUUCUCGCUAUAGAGUCCCGGUGGAUGCUUGCCAUUAACCCCCAAUUUUCUAUGGUUGACCUCGGAUCAGGUAGGGAUACCCGCUGAACUUAAGCAUAUCAAUAAGCGGAGGA
rnacentral:misc_RNA from 1 species